rnacentral:lncRNA from 1 species
UUUAAUAGAGGAAUGGACGUCCAAAAUUUGGCGUCAAAAUAGUCUAUAGAAUAAUUAAAAAUAAAAUAGUGUAGAGACGUGACAUUGUGAUUGGGGCAAUCUUGGCCUCCAUUCAGAAUGGACGGUUGGAUGAGAGGGAGGAUAGAACUUCUAUGUUGUAGGGGAAGCAAAGAAAGCUUACCCAAGAGAUAUAUUUUGAAUCUUUGGGUCUAUUAAGAUAUGAA